UCCCAGGUGGUCCAGUGGUUUGAACUCAGCACUUUCACUGCAGUGGCCCAGGUUGAAUUCCUGGUCUGAGAA
rnacentral:tRNA from 1 species